GUUCUGGGCCGCACGCGCGCUACACUGAUGUAUUCAACGAGUAUAUAGCCUUGGCCGACAGGCCCGGGUAAUCUUGGGAAAUUUCAUCGUGAUGGGGAUAGAUCAUUAGAAUUGUUGGUCUUCAACGAGGAAUGCCUAGUAAGCGCGAGUCAUCAGCUCGCGUUGACUACGUCCCUGCCCUUUGUACACACCGCCCGUCGCUCCUACCGAUUGAAUGGUCCGGUGAAGUGUUCGGAUCGC
rnacentral:ncRNA from 1 species